CAGGAUUGAUCAAAUAAGUUAUUUGAAGUUGACUCAACAACACGGACUCGUGACCAAAUCAAACCCCCGAAGCAAGCCUGAAAAUUACGAUAAUGAGCUUGGGGUUGCCAUUCAGCAACAAAACAAAAGUUAGCGAAAGCUAUUAGCUCUUUUAGUGAAGAAAGGAUGAUAGAAGGCGACAUGUGUGCUCAGGCAUAAUCUACUCGUGAUGUAAUUUCGCUAUUUGCAAGCACGUAAAGCAUCGAUAGAUUUAUCUUUGUUGAACAAAAAUGUCUAAAUUCAACUUCCAUUUUUCAGUACAGGAAUCGGAGUUGCUUCUGCUCAACAUCAAAGGGGAAGAACACACCAUCCUUUUCCUGCUUACCUUCCAAAAAUCUUGUAUGUCCUGAGCUGAGGGCAAUUCAAAUGUACACAAAUCAUCAGCCUCCAUCGUUCUUAUUUCAAGUUCUACAUAUUAGGCAUCUUUUGCAGGCUCUUCUAAUAGGAUAUUUGAGAGCUUCUUCUCUAAACAAGCAGUAGAAGAUCCAGAUUCCACAUUAUCAGCAAUAACGUCCCUCUUCACUAACGAGAUCGGUUGCGUCAGUUAGCAUUGAAAUGAGAACCAUCAGUGUCCUCAAUGCAAGAAAUGGUGUGGGGUAAAUCUCCUGAUGCGCCAGACUUACAUAGAGACUGCAAUAAUCUCGACAAGAUAGAGACUGUAACCUCUGAUGCCAUACCACAACGGCCAGCUUCAUCCAACAGCUUCUCUAGUCCAUCCUGACUGAUUUUUUCACUAUUUUUCUCAAAAGAUCUGUCCACUGCCUUUCACUAAUUUGAAAUGAGGCAAGAGCCAUGGUGCUAAAAGAGUGACAGCCUUCUCAUAAUUCUAUUGAGCUGUGGCUUGAAAUCCCAUUUCAGUAAAGAUACUGGAUGAGGGAUUUCUCCAGCUUCCAAAAUCUUAUCGAAUGCAUGCUCCAGAAGAUGACUCUGUAUGAAGAAAACAAAAGGUCAAGAGACUCAAAUUCUACUCAUUGAGCUCAUCUGCAAGUCAUCUGGUAUAGUGGUAGUGGCACUACGAUCAAAUCCUUUGAUGAUCCCAAUGUUUGGGACACAAUGGGCUUUCGUGUGUUCAAAGAUAGGUAUGCAAUCAUCAAUAUGCCUACCAUUAGUAGAGGGACAUGUCUCAGGACAGAAAAGACUGUAACAGUGAAAAUAGAGAUGAUAUGUCUCCUCCUUAUUUUGAAAGUACAAAAUUCUCUCCUAAACUA